AUUUAUCUGCCUAAGCAUUCAAAUCUAAAUUUUCCUUCCUGGAACCAAGAACUCACCAUUUGUACAAAGUGAAAAAGUCAGUCAACUGGCUAGUUCUAAAGUUAAUGAACAUUUUCCUUAAGAAUGUGCUCAAUAACAUCUGUAAAGAACUCUGUCAGUACACACGCACAGGUUUAUUGAAAAAUUUUUUAAAAACCACAACUAAGAUAUUAGUAAAAUUUUGUAUAGAUAAAAUCAGUCAAUAUUUUCUCUUCUGUCCUAGCACCUAUACUAAAACACAAUUCCCCUUUUAUGACCUUUGAUUAACUGUUUUACAAUCUCUUUGAAUGUACUCUGAGUAAAAGAAGUCAGGUUACUAUGUAGAAGUAAUUAACUAGUGACUGAUGGGAGACUGGCAGAGUUCUCAGAUAAGGACUGAAUAGGAGUUCACCUAUAAAUGGCUU
rnacentral:lncRNA from 1 species